AACGAACGCUGGCGGCAGGCCUAACACAUGCAAGUCGAACGCUCCGCAAGGGGAGUGGCGCACGGGUGAGUAACACGUGGGAACCUACCUUCUGGUACGGAACAACCAAGGGAAACUUUGGCUAAGACCGUAUACGACCUCCGGGUGAAAGAUUGAUCGCCGGAAGAGGGGCCCGCGUCCGAUUAGGUAGUUGGUGAGGUAACGGCUCACCAAGGCGACGAUCCGUAGCUGGUCUGAGAGGAUGACCAGCCACACUGGGACUGAGACACGGCCCAGACUCCUACGGGAGCAGCAGUGAG
rnacentral:rRNA from 1 species